UCGAUUGCUCGCCGAAAUCCCUUUUGUCCCAGCCGAUAGGUCUCUAGAUGUUAUAGAGAACCCCAAACAACCCAAUCUGCUGUCACGGACAUACAUAUAAUUACCUAUAUGAAUAGAUAAAAGUAUGUAAAAGUAGAUAAAAGUAGGUUAAUUGUGUAAUAUCUUCUAGAGAAGCUUCUUAGAAGCUUCUUAGAAGCUUCAUAGACGCUGUUUUGACUUUAUAGGAGUCUAUAGUUGACUUUUAGGCUAGAAACUUGGUCAACAAGUUAGCCAUGUGCCACACAUGUUGGAAGCUUAAAGAACAAGCUAACUACGUGGUCCAUCCAUAGAAAAACUUGCCUUGUAAGCAAAGGCAUGUGGCCUAGAAAGUCAACAUAUAUUGGAGGUCUUAUAAAACAUCGCCAUGUGGCUCUAGUUAGAUAGUAUAUAUAGAGGCAAGAGUGAAGCCCUCUUCACUCUUGUCAACUCCUUUCUUGCUUCUAGUCUAGUUUCAAGGGUCUCUAGUUUUCUUGUAUUUUGGCAAUAGCCAUUCCAGUUUCUUUCUUAAUAUACAUAUUUCUAUUUUGUCCUAUUUCUUUUUGAGAAAAGUCUCACUUACUCUUUAGCUUUCAUCGAGUUCUUGUCCUUGACAGAUUGACAAGAGUACACUUACAAUAUCAGAGCUUUGUCUUUUCUUGAUUAAGAGUGGAUUACCCCUUUUUCUUGAUAAGACAUAAGCGCAUUAGAAGUUGCGGAUUACCCUCUUUUAAACUGAUAUUGUUCUUAGUAUUUUCUUUGUUAUCAAUUCCUCUCUUCUAUUUGUUUUGAGCGUUAUUAGACAUCUUCUCUUUUCUAAGUGCUACUAUGGCAGAGCUUGUUGAAAUGAAGAGUGCUAUGGCACAGAUGCAAGAACAAUUGAGGGAGUUAAUGCUUGCGAUGCAUCAACUCAAUUUACCACCACAAGGAGCAACAAGAAUGGUAGGAAGUGAAGAUAUAGAGAUGAUUGGGGCUGCUUCAACAUCUGCACCAAACCAUGUCCCUUCUCCCAGAAUGGAACACCCUUCGAGUGUUAGAGAACCGAGAGUUGCCUUGCCCGAGAAGUUUGAUGGUACCAGAUCCAAGUUUCGAGGAUUCAUCAAUCAGGUCCAACUAGUGAUUGAACUUCAAUCCCAAAGCUAUCCAACUCCAGGGUCACAAGUUAGAUUCAUUGGUACACUUCUUUCAGGUUCAGCAUUGUCAUGGUUUUCAUCUUUUCUUGAACGACGAGAUCCAAUAUUGGAUAAUUUAGAGGCUUUUUUGGCGGAGUUUCGAUCCAUGUUUGGAGAACAUGAUGCAAUUCGUGUUGCAACCAACAAGAUCCGUAUUUUGCGACAAGGCAAUCGAUCAGUAACAUUAUAUGCUUCGCAAUUUCGACAACUUGCAACUGAUAUCAAGUGGGAUGAUGCCGCACUUGUGAGUCAAUUUCUCUACGGAUUACAAUAUGAGGUAAAGAAAUUGAUGCUUAAUUUACCUGAUCCUCAAACAUUGAGUCAAGCAAUUGACUUUGUUGUGAAGUGCGACAAUCGACUUUUUGAAUUUCGAUCCGAGAGUCGCACAAGUAGGCCUCAACAUUACUACAAUUCAAUGGCAACACCGACGUCUCCUCAACACAUACCUUCAGAAGUAGAGGAUAUGCAAAUUGAUGCGGUACGUUUCAAACCUCUUACUGAGCAAGAAAAGUCUCGUCGUCGACAAGAAGGAUUGUGCUUAUAUUGUGGAGAACCUAAGCACACUGCUCAACAUUGUCCAAAGAAGCGACGUAACUACAAAAUGAGGAGUACGGCUGUCAAAGAAGACAGUAUGUCGGAAAACGAGUACGUCCAGCUACAAUAGGGACCGUGCGGCUGGAAUCUUGUACAACUUCUAAUGAAGGUCCUAUCCUCUCCUCAGAACCAUCUCCUUGUUUUAUAAUAGAUGUGCAUUUAGGACCUAAUAAUUACAAAGCCUCUGCCUUGAUAGAUUCAGGAGCCUCAGCUUGUUUUUUAGAUGGAGAAUUUGCUAGAUGUCAUAGAAUAUCAUUAAUACAAAAAACUAAACCUGUACACGUAGAAGUCAUAGAUGGUCGUCCGUUGUCUUCUGGAGAUGUAACUCACGAAACACUUCCUGUAGAUGUAGUAAUAAAUGGUCAUAGUAGUUGCGUAAUUUUUAAUAUAAUUAGAUCUCCCUCUAAUCCAGUAAUUUUAGGCUUAUCAUGGUUAGAAAAGUAUAAUCCUCGAAUAGAUUGGAUUUCUCGUAAACUUGAUUUUUCUCGGAGCAUUAGUAACAGUUCUAUUAAUCAAGUAAAAAACCAUGAGUCUAGUAUAGUAAAACCCGCACUUAUAGGUGCAAAAGCAUUUAUACACGCAGCAAAAGAAGGAUCAACUUUUGCUAUUUAUGCUGCACCUAUUUCUGAAAGCGUAAAGACUUCAAGUGGCAUUCCAAGUCAAUAUCAGGAUUAUCAAGACGUUUUUGAGAAAAAGAAUGCAGAUAUUCUUCCUGAGCAUCGCCCAUACGAUUGUUCAAUCGAUCUCAAGGAAGGAACUCAGCCACCAUUUGGACCAAUUUACAGUUUAUCGCAAGAUGAGUUGGCUAAACUCAAGACAUAUAUGGACGAGAAUUUAGCGAAGAAUUUCAUACGCCAUUCAAAAUCUCCAGCAGGAGCUCCAAUUUUAUUCGUAAAGAAAAAAGAUGGAUCUUUACGAAUGUGUGUUGACUAUCGAGGACUCAACAAGAUCACAAUCAAGAACAGGUAUCCAUUACCUUUGAUAUCAGGACUCCUUGACCAGUUAAAUCAAGCUAAGAUCUAUACAAAAAUAGAUCUAAGAGGAGCAUAUAAUCUAGUACGGAUCAAAGAAGGAGAUGAAUGGAAGACUGCGUUUCGAACCAGGUAUGGACAUUUCGAAUACAAUGUCAUGCCUUUUGGACUCACGAAUGCACCAGCUGCUUUUCAACAUCUCAUGAAUGAUGUAUUUCGUGAAUUCUUAGACAAUUUUGUCGUCUGCUACCUAGACGAUAUCCUGAUUUAUUCUAAGAAUGUUGAAGAACAUGAAAUACAUGUUCGUCAAGUAUUACAAAAACUUAGAGAUGCAGGAUUGUACGCCAAGAUAGAAAAGUGUGUAUUUCACACUACUCAAGUUGACUUUUUAGAAUACAUCAUUUCAAAUGAUGGUCUUAUGAUGGAUUCUAAGAAAGUCCAAACAAUCAUGGAUUGGAAGAUUCCAAAGACUGUAAGAGAUGUCCAAUGUUUCUUGGGAUUUGCCAAUUACUAUCGGAUCUUCAUCAAAGACUUCUCACGAGUUGCAGCUCCACUUACACGCUUGACUAGUAAAGAUAAAUUCCAAUGGAAUCAAGAAGCGGAAGCAGCAUUUGAAGCCUUGAAGACAUCGUUUGUCUCUGCACCAGUCUUAUAUAGUGUUGACUUUUCCAAGGUAUUUUUUAUGGAAACAGAUGCAUCGGAUUUUGCCUUGGGUGCAGUUUUAUCACAAAUGGGAACAGAUGACAAACUUCAUCCGAUAGCUUUUCAUUCAAGAAAAUUCUCAGCAGCCGAGAUCAAUUAUGAGAUCCACGAUAAAGAACUUCUUGCAAUCGUGGAUUCUUUUUAAGAAUGGCAUCAUUAUCUAGAAGGUGCUUCUAGUCCAGUCACUGUGUAUACAGAUCAUUAGAACCUCGAGUAUUUCAUGUCAGCACGCGUGUUGAAUCGUCGUCAAGCUCGUUGGAGUAUGUCUUUGUCAAGAUUCGACUUCAUUAUCACUUAUCGGCCAGGAAAACAACAAGGUUUGUCCGAUGCCCUAUCUAGACGUUCUUAUUUUGCACCAAAAGAAGGAGAUGCAGCUUUUGAGCAACAAAGAACGGUCCUCUUGAAACCGGAGCAAUUUCAUCUCCGAGCAGUGAAAUCAACACUGACUGUUGAUUCAACUUUUCUCAAGCAAAUCCAGUCCAGUAUGUCCUCAGACCCUCUUGUUCAUGAUAUCGAGAAUAAUUCUUCCAAGUCUCAUGAUUCUUCUAAGUUCGAGUUCAAGAAUAAUCUAUUAUAUUUUGAAGGACGCCUAUAUGUUCCAGAAGGAAAAGCACGUUUGCGUGUUCUUCAAGCACGUCAUGACUUUCCAGCAGCAGGUCACUUUGGAUAUAAUAAGACUCUGGAACUCAUAUCAAGAGAUUUUUGGUGGCCACAAAUGUGGAAGUCAGUCAAAGACUUUGUACAAUCAUGUGAUAUUUGUUCAAGAUCAAAAAUUCCUCGACAUCGACCUUACGGACUUCUUCAGCCAUUACCUAUACCAGAACAACCAUGGUCUUCUGUUUCUAUGGAUUUCAUCACAGAUCUUCCAAACUCAAGAUCUUAUGAUUCUAUAUUUGUGAUAGUAGAUCGUUUCACCAAGAUGGCACAUUUUAUGCCAUGUACAAAAUCUAUCACAGGUGAAGAAAAAGCUAAGCUUUUCAUUGAUAAUAUCUAUCGCUAUCAUGGAUUACCUAAAGAUAUCAUAUCGGAUAGGGGAACUCAAUUUGUGUCGAGAUUCUGGAGGACUCUUUUCAAGAUUUUAAAAGUGGACAUAAAGCUAUCUUCAGCUUUCCAUCCUCAAACUGAUGGACAAAUAGAGCGCGUAAACCAAGUCUUGGAACAGUAUUUAAGGUGUACCAUCAACUACCAACAAGAUGAUUGGACAAACCUUCUGCCAUUGGCAGAGUUUGCUUAUAAUAAUACGGUACAUUCCUCCACGCAACAAACACCUUUCUUUGCCAAUUAUGGCUAUCAUCCACGACUUGAUACUUUUGAUUUUUCAAAAGUUGAUAAUCCUGCAGCAGAAGAUAUGGCAAAUCGGUUGUCAGAGUUACAUGCAAUAAUGAAGGCGCAGUUGAAGAAAGCUCAAGAACGACAAAAGAUAAAUGCAGAUGUAUAUCGUAAAGAGCAACCACAACUCAACGUGGGUGAUAAGGUAUGGCUACUUCGUCGCAAUAUCAAGACCACUCGACCUUGUGACAAAUUGGACUAUCGUAGGCUUGGCCCCUUUUUUGUUUCUGAACAGAUCAACCCAGUUGCAUAUCGGUUACAUCUACCGGAGUCAAUGAAGAUCCAUCCUGUAUUCCACGUGUCUCUUCUUGAACCAUAUAAGACAAUGGAUAUACAAGGAAGAAGACAAAUGCCACCGCCUCCUAUAGAAGUAGAUAAUAAUGAAGAAUUUGAGGUGGAAGAGAUAUUAGACUCAAAGCGGCGCCGAAAUAAGCUGGAAUAUCUUGUUCAUUGGCACGGAUAUGACAUUAGUGAGCGCACAUGGGAGCCAUCCAGGAAUCUAGCAAAUGCAUCAGCUAAAGUCAAAGUUUUUCAUCAACGACAUCCAUCAAAACCAAGAUGAAAACCUCUCUUAUAAAAGAGACAAGAUUGAGGCAAGAUAACAUUCAAUUUCCUAUCCUUGUUUGUAACUUCUUUACAUUUGUGACACUAAUUAGAUGGAGAGCCAACAACCAGCGGAUUCAACUCAAGAACCUUCGUUUGCUGACCUGCCGGACGAGACAUUACGAUUGUCACAACCUUCAAGACGACGCAAUCGAGAUGAAGAUCUUCAAGAACGACAUGUUCUUCCUCGAACAGAUGGUGAGAUACAACGCGUUUGGUAUCACGAUUUGGGAAGGGAUUCUCGAUGUUUGGUGAUAUUAUUAGAGAUAGGAACGACUCCUGAUGGUAUUUCAAAUGUAUUAUUUGAAGGAAGUUAUGAAGGCCUCAACAGUGAUCAAAUAACAGGGUGGUCUUCUCGCCCUGGAAUGGGACACUAUCGAUGGCUAAGAGGACCCAUCAACUAUCUUCGAAGAGAACAAAGAUCAGAGUAUGUAGCAAAUACAAUUCGCCGCAUAUUAGACUUUCUCAAUAUAUAAUCACCGCUCCUCGUGGAACUCGUCCCUAGAAGGGGGGGUAAUGUCACGGACAUACAUAUAAUUACCUAUAUGAAUAGAUAAAAGUAUGUAAAAGUAGAUAAAAGUAGGUUAAUUGUGUAAUAUCUUCUAGAGAAGCUUCUUAGAAGCUUCUUAGAAGCUUCAUAGACGCUGUUUUGACUUUAUAGGAGUCUAUAGUUGACUUUUAGGCUAGAAACUUGGUCAACAAGUUAGCCAUGUGCCACACAUGUUGGAAGCUUAAAGAACAAGCUAACUACGUGGUCCAUCCAUAGAAAAACUUGCCUUGUAAGCAAAGGCAUGUGGCCUAGAAAGUCAACAUAUAUUGGAGGUCUUAUAAAACAUCGCCAUGUGGCUCUAGUUAGAUAGUAUAUAUAGAGGCAAGAGUGAAGCCCUCUUCACUCUUGUCAACUCCUUUCUUGCUUCUAGUCUAGUUUCAAGGGUCUCUAGUUUUCUUGUAUUUUGGCAAUAGCCAUUCCAGUUUCUUUCUUAAUAUACAUAUUUCUAUUUUGUCCUAUUUCUUUUUGAGAAAAGUCUCACUUACUCUUUAGCUUUCAUCGAGUUCUUGUCCUUGACAUCUGCUAAUCUCCGAUACUGAUUUAUACUCAUGACCUUGUAUCCACUGACUGUCUUCUUAGAUUAACCCAAAAAUUUUCAUUCACUCUGCAUACUCAAUUCUAUAGACACCUUUUUAAUUCUUCAAUCACAGACGUAACUUCGAUUUCACAAAACAGUCAAGAGUAAUCACACCCACUUCAUUAAAACCCUGAUUCAUCAGUACAACACAUCGAUCUUUUAACAUUGAUUGCCAAAAGUUCCUUUUCUGACCCCUAUCCAAAAACCUUGUAUC
rnacentral:lncRNA from 1 species